UCGCAAGGCCGAAACUUAAAGGAAUUGACGGAAGGGCACCACCAGGAGUGGAAUCUGCGGCUUAAUUUGACUCAACGCGGGAAAACUCACCAGGUCAGGACACGGUAAGGAUUGACGGACUGAAGGCUCUUUCUCGAUUCCGUGGAAAGUGGUGCAUGGCCGUUUUUGGUUGGUGGAUCGAUCCGUCUGGUUAAUUCCGUUAACGAACGAGACCUCGGCACUCCGAAUAGCGCGGCGGACGUCGCGGCCUCCGGGCCGUCUUCCGCACGAGCUUCUUAGAGGGACCGUCCCCCGCCGGGGAAGGAGGUGCGAGGCAACGACAGGUCUGUGAUGCCCUUAGAUGUUCUGGGCCGCACGCGCAUUACACUGACGCGUCCAACGGGUGACUCCCGACCCGAAGGGGCCGGGGAAUCCGCAAGGCGCGUCGUGAUGGGGAUUGAACGUUGCAAUUGUUGUUCACGAACGAGGAAUUCCUAGUAGGCGCGGGUCAUCAACCCGCGCCGAUUACGUCCCUG
rnacentral:rRNA from 1 species